rnacentral:tRNA from 2 species
GGGAGUAGCUCAGUUGGUAGAGCAUCAGCCUUCCAAGCUGAGGGUCGCGAGUUCGAAUCUCGUCUCCC